rnacentral:rRNA from 1 species
UACGUAGGGUGCAAGCAUUGUCCGGAAUUAUUGGGCGUAAAGAGCUCGUAGGCGGUCUGUCACGUCGGCUGUGAAAUCCCGAGGCUCAACCUCGGGUCUGCAGUCGAUACGGGCAAACUAGAGUAUUGCAGGGGAGACUGGAAUUCCUGGUGUAGCGGUGAAAUGCGCAGAUAUCAGGAGGAACACCGGUGGCGAAGGCGGGUCUCUGGGCAAUAACUGACGCUGAGGAGCGAAAGCGUGGGGAGCGAACAGG